GUGCUCACCUCAGCAGCAUAUAUACUAAAAUUGGAAUGAUACAGAGAUUAGCAUGGCCCCUGUGCAAGGAUGACAUGCAAAUUUGUGAAGCUUUCCUUAUUUUU
ensembl:snRNA U6 U6 spliceosomal RNA